ACAUGCAGAAGAGAGGGCGUCGUCAGUUUGAAGAGACACGUGAACGUGGACGUGAGAAAAUAAAGUGCUGCGUCGCUGUGAUAGGAAUAGAUGUUCCCCCUAAGCGAGACCUGCAAGAGUCAUUUGAAGAAGAAAAAAAUGAAGAAGAAAAAUCUGCUUAAUGGAGAACAGUCGAGGAGACAAACAACAAUGAACAAUGUGGGAUCUGUCGCAUUCUCCCCCCCGGGAGAAGACUUCUGACGGCGUGGCGUUUCGUUGGGGGGUGAGGAGGAAAGAGGAGAAGAACAGGGGGAACCCCCCCCCUCCCCCUCCCCCUCCCCCACCGUGCAGAGGGAAUCAAAGGGAGACCUCAGGACUUUAACCACG